UACGAAGGGGGCUAGCGUUGUUCGGAAUUACUGGGCGUAAAGGGUGUGUAGGCGGUUCAGUAAGUCAGGAGUGAAAUCCCUGGGCUCAACCCAGGAAUUGCUUUUGAGACUAUUGGACUUGAGUAUGGGAGAGGUGAGUGGAAUUCCCGGUGUAGAGGUAAAAUUCGUAGAUAUCGGGAGGAACACCAGUGGCGAAGGCGGCUCACUGGCCCAUAACUGACGCUGAGACACGAAAGCGUGGGGAGCAAACAGG
rnacentral:rRNA from 1 species